rnacentral:rRNA from 1 species
AUUGAACGCUGGCGGAAUGCUCUACACAUGCAAGUCGAACGGCAGCACGGACUUCGGUCUGGUGGCGAGUGGCGAACGGGUGAGUAAUGUAUCGGAACGUGCCCAGUCGUGGGGGAUAACGUAGUGAAAAUUACGCUAAUACCGCAUACGAUCUAUGGAUGAAAGCGGGGGAGCGCAAGACCUCGCGCGAUUGGAGCGGCCGAUAUCAGAUUAGGUAGUUGGUGGGGUAAAGGCCCACCAAGCCAACGAUCUGUAGCUGGUCUGAGAGGACGACCAGCCACACUGGAACUGAGACACGGUCCAGACUCCUACGGGAGGCAGCAGUGGGGAAUUUUGGACAAUGGGCGAAAGCCUGAUCCAGCCAUUCCGCGUGCAGGAUGAAGGCCCUCGGGUUGUAAACUGCUUUUGUACAGAACGAAAAGGUUUCUACUAAUACUAGGAGCUCAUGACGGUACUGUAAGAAUAAGCACCGGCUAACUACGUGCCAGCCGCCGCGGUAA